GCGAAAACUUGGAUGCCAGUGUUGCCAAGAGAGACGGCAGCGAGCUCAAGAUUGCCAAGAUGGCCGCAAAAGAUCUGAGUGGACAUGGCGACAAGGUUAUUGAGCAUGUAAACCAAGAUUGCUGGGGCUGCUAGGCGGAAGAGGUUUUUGAGUUCGAUCCAUGUUGCUUUCUUGAUUCUCUGAAAGAAUGACAAGCUGUCGUCCGACAGAGCUUCUUCAAGCUCAGAACUCACUGGCUCGACCUCCGACCCGUUGCUUUGCAACAUGGGUUCAUGGACAUUAUUAUUAUUAUCAGUGUUGGAGGAAUCCAUGUAAGUUCCUUCGCUCUUGUGAGUCUUGUCUCUCAACUCUCAACACACACGCAGCUACCUCCCCGUUAAUUAUUUAUAUAUAUGUAGGCGAUAUAAUAUGGCAUCUGCCACUUAACUUUCAAAGACAUACAUAGAAAGUUAGGUUAACACAAUAUGAAUAUAUGGCAAACGGGGAAAACUUCAUUUCAUUACAUACUGAUCGAUACAAGUGGAAAAAUCAUAUGAUUAUUUGAUAAGACAUAAAAUAUUAGGGAUUCAGAUGUAAUUAGCGUUAGUCUUACGUAAGAGAUUAUGUUUUUGAAUUUUGAGUUGUCAAUUAACAAAUAAACAAAAAAGGUGUUCAAUUUGUUGUCACCUCAAAGUUCCCAAUCAAUAUUCAUAUAUUGUUAGGUAGGUUACGUGUCAAAAUAUAUACUUUGCUGAACGAGAUUUUAUUUUUAUUUUUAAAAGAAAACGUGAAAUUUUUUUUUUUGGUCUUCUUCUAAUGCAAUUUCACAAAAAAUUUUUAAAUCUAGUUGCUUAAUUGUUUUUAUGUUCAUAUAUAUUUUUAUCAAUUGCACACAGAUCUUCAAAAACUUGGUCUUCAAUUAUGUAAUAGUUGUAAAAGUAAUUAAUCUCUUAUCAUACGUAUGUGAUUAGUCUGAAAAUUGAUCUCAUCUUGGCCCAAAAAAAAAAAAAUUAGAACAAAAAAGAAACAAGAAGGGAAAUUCUUUCGACUAAUUAUUUGCAACGAUUUCUCUACCUUUCUUUUUUUUUUUUUUUUUUUUUGGGUGCCAAUAUUCACAAAAUGUUAAGAAAAUGAAGCAUUUCCGAGAAAGCAGAUGAAUUUGGAAGGAAAGCAAGAAGCCAUUAUUAAUGCUCAAAAUGGUGAACAUCAAUAGAAUUGAUUGGAAAAUGUUGUCAAAAAUGGGAUACCAAUCAGGUAGUAACAUCCCAAGUUAACAUAAGCAAUAAAAGCUUGCCAUCCGAACCCAACAGCUACUCCUGGUGUCGUUUAAUAUAGGGAAAAUAUCCACCGUCCACCUGAUUUUGUCCAUUUUUUUAAAAAUACACAAAUCUUAAUUUUUUUAGCUGCGCUCCACCUGAACUUAUAAUUUUUUUCACAUUUCCACCUCCGUUUGCAAACCGUCAAGACGUUGCUGACGUCAUAAGGCUAAAAUGAUAAUUUCACUUGGGCUUAAAAAACGACGUCGUUUAAGAUCUGUAAUAAGCAAAAAAAAAAAUUAUUUCAGUUUCAAGAACCCAAACAAAAGCUUUGAUAAACUCGAAGCUCAAAGCUUAAUUAUUCUCUGGUCUCUACUCACCACAUUCGCAUUCAUGGCUGCACAAGACACACAAAUUGAGAGCGAAAAUAAAGACUCAAAAGAACCCAAAAACCUGUUCGCACACUUUACAAACUUAUUAUUUUCUGCUCCAAUAUUUAAUAAUAAGCAAGAGAGAAAUAAAAGUGAAGGUGAAGAAAGAGAAGCUGCAGAAGCAAGCAAGAAACGAGAGGUGGUGAAAUUUCCGCUUUUAAAAAAAUAAACAAAGAAAGAAAGAAAAAGCAAAGGCAAAGCCAAAAUCUUCUACUCUGAAAGUCAUCGACCGUAGUCAUGGCGGAAAACACAGAAAUCGCUUCCAGUCCCAGAAAACAAGAAAACAAAAGCAUACUCUCGCGGUUGCCGAAAUUCCAACUCAAUCUCCCUUUCUUCUUUAAUCAACAACCUAAGAAAGCAGAAGAAACUGUUGUUUCUAAAGGGACUGCCAAAACGUCAACGGUUAGUGAAGCCGAUGAAGGUAUGCUAGUAGUGUGAAGCCGAGCUUGGCUAGGUUUCCGGACGCCACGCGUCCGAUUCUUUCGCCGCAGAUUGAGCUCGAGGCCGAAGAGCCCGCCAGGCGGACUUCCAAUCCUGUCCUUCUCUGGCAGGUUCGCUUUCUUCCGUCUGUUCCUGUUUGGCUCCCGAGAAAAUGUGGGGUCCUUUUGUGUUGCGAGAUUGCGAGAUUGCGAGAUUGCGAGAUUGCGAGAUUUUAUAAUAUUUGUUUAAAAAAUAAAAUUUUUGAAAGGAUUUAAAGAUUUUCAGUUUUUAUUUAGGGCUACAAUACUCACAAAGCUAAUAUUUUGACGUUUAUUUAGGGUAAAUAUGUAAUUUUUUAUUUUUGGGAUUAAAAAGUAAUUUGGACAAAAUUCCGUUAGUUUUAUUGACGGUUUGCAGACGGAGGUGGAAAUGUGAAAAAAAUUAUAAGUUCAGGUGGAGCGCAGCUAAAAAAAUUAUGAUUUGUGUAUUUUUAAAAAAGUGGACAAAAUCAAGUAGACGGUAGAUAUUUUCCCUUUAAUAUAUCACAUCAAUUGCAGUAGCGUUAAUUAUUAAUGAUUUGAAUUUUGAAGCCACAACAAAUUAAUUAUGGGGAAAUGGAGAGGAAGAGCUGGAGCUAUGUAAUAAAUAUAAUAUGGCAACAGCUAGCAAUAAAAACGACGUUUAUCGUCUAAUUAUUUAGUACUUCUCAAUUAUUGAUUGACAUUAUAAUCAAAGGCCGACUGUUAUUAAAUUUUUUCACUAAAGUAAUUAAGGUAGCUCAUAUUUUUCAAUUAAUUAAAAGCAAUUAUAUUCCUAACGUAAAAUAAUCAUCGAGAGCAAAUAAUCAGUAGAAAAAUUAACGCUUGAAAGAGUUUGAUGCUUUUUAAAAUAUCAAUGGAGUUUGUAUUUAUUUAAUCAAAGAACAGGAACGUGGGUCUUUUUCCCCCACUAAUAACUGUAGAAAAGCAACAUUUAUUAAAGCUUGAGUUGACGUACAUACACUAAUGAACUCAUUUGCCUGUUUGUUGUGUUGUGUGGCGGUGUAUGCGAGCACGUGUUGUGAAAAUUUUAAUAUAUUUGUAAGUGUAUGAAUUUAGAGAUAAAAUAGUGAUAACGAGGUCGAUCCUACAAGGAUUAUUAUAAAUUAAAAAAUUUAAUUUAAAUUUAAAAUUAAUAUUAAUUCUAACCUAGUUGACCAAAUUAAGUUUCUAAGAAAAUUAAACCAAUUAAACUAAGGAAGCAAUUAAAAUAAAGGAGAAUUCAAUCAAAUAAAAAUUACUAAAGUUUUAAAAUCCACCACUAUUCAACUAGUAAUUACUGUAGAUUUUCUUCUUUGUCUCGGGUUUUCCUCCUCUGGCGGCUCCUCUCUCCAAAAGCCAAAACUCCCUUUUAAUAAUCUUUAAAAUGAGCCCCACCUCUUAAAUGCUAAAGCCAAAAGGCUUGGCCUUUUACUUGAUUUGCUCUCACACACGUCCUGGCCACUUAUAAUUGCUAAAGGACUCAUUUUUCCAAUUAUAAAAGUCAAGUGUGUGUCCCUUCUUAAAGCUAAAUCAAUUUCUCUCCUUUGUCCGCAUGUACAUGAUGAAUUAACUUGUUGAAUUCAGUUCCUUGGCUUGAUUUCCGCAUGCAUGUAUGUCUAAUUGCUUCCAAAAAUCAAUUAAUCUUUAAUGCUUACAAAUUAAAUUCCUUUAUGCUCUUUUUAUCCAUAAUCUCCAAUUAAUUUCCUAUUCAAUAAAAUAAUUUAAUUAAUUAAAAAUAAAAAUAACUAACAAUUAAAUAAUUAAAGAUAAAAUAUGUAUAUAAAUUAUGCUCAUCAGCACGUCGCCGUCUUGUGCAAAGCUAAAUAUCAACAACGUAAAUACUACCUUAUACAGCAAUGCGCGCGCUUUAAAUAAUUGACUAUUACAUAGUAAAUAGUAAAUAAACAUAUAAUUGGUUCCUGCAUCUUCAAUUCUGUGUCUUAUUAUUGACGUUAUUUGAUAAAAUGCAAUGCUGUGAAUAUUUACCUGUAUUACUAUCAUGGUUGGUUAAAAAAAAAAAAGGGUUAGGUGAGCGAGAAAGGAGAUGAUAAGCUAGGAGAAUAAGAAUUACCUGACAGAACAGGCUGGACGCCGUUGAGAAUUACGGAGAAAGCGAGAAAAGGGCUGAGUUCAGCAACGGAGUCGGCGACGGUGGAGCCGCCAGUGAAGGCAUAGCUCAAGACAUUGCGCAGUAUGAGGACAAGAAUGGCCAGAAUCACAGAGAGUGCGAGUGAAAUUGAAGUUACCACGAUCACUGAGAACUUACACGAUUUUGGAUGUGCUGCACCCAACUCAAUGCCCACCCUAACACUGUACGUACGUGUGUAUUUCACCAAUUCAGCGCAAAUAAUUGUAACUAAUUAGAGGAAAACACUAAUAAAUUACGUACCUUGCUGCCGCAUUGAAACCCACAGCAAUCAUGAACACCCAUCCAGCAAUCGUCAUGCUGCAUUAGUGGACACAUGUAAUAGCAUGCGGUUGCAUUGAAUUACUUUGGCAACAUGAUGCCGAUGAGCAUAUUAAAGAGAUUAAACAGACAAAUAAUUCGUAUCUUACCAGAUGGAGAGAGAGUCGAGCACAAUUUCAGCAUUAUCGAGCAACCCAGCAAUCAAAACAAUGAUCUGAUAGUACCAAAUCUCGAGGCACAACAUUACAGCCGAUGCUGUUGACAAUUUCAGUAAGUCCCACAGCCCAGAAAACGCCUGUAAGCUAAACCCAGUCCAUGUCUUUUUGCACCUUUCACUCAACAAAAUGUACACGAAUUGUGCCGCCACUAUAAUCCACCACGACAAACUUAACACCAACGAUGCCCCUAGAAGUCCCCAGCCUAGCUUGAAAAUCGCAACCCAACUUAAGAGCACAUGCACCACAAGUGUUGCCGCUGAGAUGUAUGCACUUGGCGAGAUUAUGCUUUGUGCUUGUGGGAGCUUUUGUAUGGGGAAAUUGACGGCGUAGGCAAAUAUCUGUGGGAUUAGACCGAAAACGAAGAUUGCUGCUGCUGAUGCAAUGGCACUUGAUUCCCCUAGCAGGAGCAAGAUUUGUUUUGAGAAUAUGUAGAUGACCAUGAGUGGUAUCCCAGUUGCCGUGAGUAUGACUGCCGAUCUUUGAAGAUAAACGCCUAGCAUGUCGUACUUCUGUGCCCCGUAAGCUUGGCCACAUAAAGUUUCAGUAGCGCUUCCCAUUCCCAACUGUGUAAAAAUAAUAUUUUAAUUGUAAUCGGACAGUAAUUAUAUAUACACACACACAUAUAUAUACUAUUACGUACCAUAAGGCCAUAGGCGAAAACUUGGAUGCCAGUGUUGCCAAGAGAGACGGCAGCGAGCUCAAGAUUGCCAAGAUGGCCGCAAAAGAUCUGAGUGGACAUGGCGACAAGGUUAUUGAGCAUGUAAACCAAGAUUGCUGGGGCUGCUAGGCGGAAGAGGCUCUUGAGUUCGAUCCAUGUUGCUUUCUUGAUUCUCUGAAAGAAUGACAAGCUGGUAAGUUCCUUCACUCUUGUGAGUCUUGUCUCUCAACUCUCAACACACACGCAGCUACCUCCCC
rnacentral:lncRNA from 1 species